rnacentral:tRNA from 1 species
AGAUGAAAAAUAGAUUUACUAUGUUUGGUUACGGUCCAAAAAGAUAUACAUCUU